UACGUAGGGGGCAAGCGUUGUCCGGAUUUAUUGGGCGUAAAGAGCGUGUAGGCGGCCUGGUAGGUCAGCUGUGAAAACUCGAGGCUCAACCUCGAGACGCCGGUUGAAACCAUCAGGCUAGAGUCCGGAAGAGGAGAGUGGAAUUCCCGGUGUAGCGGUGAAAUGCGCAGAUAUCAGGAAGAACACCCGUGGCGAAGGCGGCUCUCUGGGACGGUACUGACGCUGAGACGCGAAAGCGUGGGGAGCGAACAGG
rnacentral:rRNA from 1 species